CCUACGGGAGGCAGCAGUGAGGAAUAUUGGUCAAUGGGCGCGAGCCUGAACCAGCCAAGUAGCGUGAAGGAUGACUGCCCUACGGGUUGUAAACUUCUUUUAUAAAGGAAUACAGUGAGGCACGUGUGCCUUUUUGUAUGUACUUUAUGAAUAAGGAUCGGCUAACUCCGUGCCAGCAGCCGCGGUACUACGGAGGAUCCGAGCGUGAUCCGGAUUUAUUGGGUUUAAAGGGAGCGUAGAUGGGUUGUUAAGUCAGUUGUGAAAGUGUGGGGCUCAACCGUAAAAUUGCAAUGGAUACUGGCAGCCUUGAGUACAGUAGAGGUAGGCGGAAGUCGUGGUGUAGCGGUGAAAUGCUUAGAUAUCACGAAGAACUCCGAUGGCGAAGGCAGCUUACUAAACUGCCACUGACAUUGAUGCUCGAAAGUGUGGGUAGCAAACAGGAUUAGAUACCCGGGUAGUC
rnacentral:rRNA from 1 species